AACCUGGUUGAUCCUGCCAGUAGUCAUACGCUUGUCUCAAAGAUUAAGCCAUGCAUGUGUAAGUAUAAACAAUUCUAUACUGUGAAACUGCGAAUGGCUCAUUAUAUCAGUUAUAGUUUAUUUGAUAGUACUUUGCUACUUGGAUAACCGUAGUAAUUCUAGAGCUAAUACAUGCACAAAAUCCCGACUUUCUUGGAAGGGACGUAUAUAUUAGAAUGAAACCAAUCGGCGCUUGCGCUGUAUUGUGGUGAGUCAUAAUAUCUUAUCGGAUCGCAGUGGUCUCGUACCGGCGAUGAAUCAUUCAAGUUUCUGCCCUAUCAGCUUUCGAUGGUAGUGUAUUGGACUACCAUGGCGGCAACGGGUAACGAAGAAUAAGGGUUCGAUUUCGGAGAGGGAGCCUGAGAGACGGCUACCACAUCC
rnacentral:rRNA from 1 species